rnacentral:rRNA from 1 species
AUGAUGGAGAAGUACUUGGAAAUAAGGACGAAGCAGGUGGAGGAUGAGAGGAAUAAGCCAAGGGUCGUGGAUGAGUACUCUAUCAAAAACUGCAUUGAUCUGCUGAAAACAAUGGAGAUCACACUUGAAGAAGAAGUCAAGGCUUUCCAAGUCUUCAAGAUCCCCGAGAACCGAGAGAUUUUCAUGAGUGCCAGACCAGAGACUGCUCUUAUGUGGCUGAAAGCUGAAAUGGAAUAA